CGGACGGGUGAGUAAUGUCUGGGAAACUGCCUGAUGGAGGGGGAUAACUACUGGAAACGGUAGCUAAUACCGCAUAAUGUCGCAAGACCAAAGAGGGGGACCUUCGGGCCUCUUGCCAUCGGAUGUGCCCAGAUGGGAUUAGCUAGUAGGUGGGGUAACGGCUCACCUAGGCGACGAUCCCUAGCUGGUCUGAGAGGAUGACCAGCCACACUGGAACUGAGGCACGGUCCAG
rnacentral:rRNA from 1 species